rnacentral:rRNA from 1 species
AGGCUACUGCUAUUGGAAUUCGACUAAGCCAUGCGAGUCAAGGUGUCUUCGGACGCCGGCAAACGGCUCAGUAACACGUAGGUAAUCUACCCUCAGGACUGAGAUAACCCCGGGAAACUGGGGCUAAUACCAGAUAGAUAAAAGAUACUGGAAUGUUCUUUUAUCCAAAGCUUUUGUGCCUGAGAAUGAGCCUGCGCCCGAUUAGGUAGUUGGUGGGGUAAUGGCCCACCAAGCCUGCGAUCGGUACGGGCAGUGGGAGCUGUAGCCCGGAGUUGGGGACUGAGACAAGGCCCCAGGCCCUACGGGGCGCAGCAGGCGCGAAACCUCUGCAAUGCGGGAAACCGUGACAGGGGGAUUCCAAGUGCUCAUGCAUUGCAUGGGCUGUUCUUUGGUCUAAGUAACCAGAGGAGUAAGGGCUGGGCGAGACCGGUGCCAGCCGCCGCGGUAAUACCGGCAGCUCGAGUGGUAGCCGCGAUUAUUGGGCCUAAAACGUUCGUAGCCGGAUAAGUAAGUCUUUGGUUAAAUCCUACGACUUAACCGUGGGAAAUCUAGAGAUACUGCUUGUCUUGAGACCGGGAGAGGUUGGAGGUACUCCCAGGGUAGGGGUGAAAUCCUGUAAUCCUGGGGGGACCACCUGUGGCGAAGGCGUCCAACUGGAACGGCUCUGACGGUGAGGGACGAAACCUAGGGGAGCGAGCCGGAUUAGAUACCCGGGUAGUCCUAGCCGUAAACGAUACUCGCUAGGUGUCGGCCACGGUGCGACCGUUGUCGGUGCCGUAGGGAAGCCGUGAAGCGAGCCACCUGGGAAGUACGGCCGCAAGGCUGAAACUUAAAGGAAUUGGCGGGGGAGCACCACAACGGGUGGAGCUUGCGGUUUAAUUGGAUUCAACGCCGGAAAUCUUACCGGGACCGACAGCAAUAUGAAGGCCAGGCUGAAGACUUUGCCGGAUUAGCUGAGAGGUGGUGCAUGGCCGUCGUCAGUUCGUACUGUGAAGCAUCCUGUUAAGUCAGGCAACGAGCGAGACCCACGCCCACAGUUGCCAGCGUACUCUCUGGAGUGACGGGUACGCUGUGGGGACCGCCGCUGCUAAAGCGGAGGAAGGAAUGGGCAACGGUAGGUCAGUAUGCCCCGAAUAUCCCGGGCUACACGCGAGCUACAAUGGUUGGUACAAUGGGUAUCUACCCCGAAAGGGGACGGGAAUCUCCUAAAACCAAUCUUAGUUCGGAUUGAGGGCUGCAACUCGCCCUCAUGAAGCUGGAAUCCGUAGUAAUCGCGUUUCAACAGAACGCGGUGAAUACGUCCCUGCUCCU